AUCUGUGACAAGCCUCUGUGGAACCCUUACACAGAGCACCGUUUGGAACCCCUGGAUCAGUGGUGAGGGAAUGGCUUUGGCAGGAGGUAGGCCUGGGACUCUGAAGGUACCACUCACCAGCUGGGUGACCUCAAGCAGUUGACUGGAAAUCCCUCAGUCUUAAUCUCCUUCUCUAAAAUGCAGGGCUUUUAUGUUGCAGCUUCUGACUCCUGAAUGCUGACCUGGCAGAGAUAACCUAAGGAAAACCUUAGGAAAAGUCCCCACUUGGGCUGGGAUUGCAGUGGUCCUGAGUGUACGUCUGGGGCUCGAGAGGUGUGGACGGACAGCAGCAAUCUAGGACUGUUCGAGAUAUCGGCUGGCUCCGAUACCCAUUCUUCCCUCACCCACACGGAGGCCCAGUCAUAAUGAUGACGUAAUCACAGCUGCACUGUUCUUUAUGCUGAGAACUCUCACCAAUACCUU